UUUGGUGAUAGAUUUAUUGCAUCCCAGGCUCUCAAAUCAGGCUAAUUCUGAGCUACUUGAAAGGUCCUCGUACAAUAUUUUUCUCCUCAGACGCAAUAAAUUAUCACCAGAAAGAAAUGAAAGGACAGACGAUUGAGCAAAAGCCUUCCCUUGUAUUUUCCGCAUUGUUAACAUUAUAUCUCGUUAUAUUUGGCUACUGGAAGGCUGCCUUUGGCUGCUUCCAUCAGUUCAAUACAUACGAUAGGUGUUGAGUGAGAGAAUGGAUUUUUUCUACACGUAUCCAAUUAUUUGAACAAAGAUGGAACUCUAAGACCAUAAUACACCACAAGGUCCUGUGACCUAAAAUCAUCUCUCAGUGGCUUUGAGUGAGAAUAACAUCAAAUUCCUCACAAAUUUAAGAUGCCAGACCAGGCUUUGCAUAUUUAGUGUUGGCUCAUUCAAACCUCAUUUGCUUCCACUUUUAUCUGUAACCUUGACCACAGCUGAGACGCCACAAAGUAAAAUCUGGCUAAAAGUAGGAAAUGGGAGUUUGACUGGAUUUGUGAGAUUUAAAAAUACCUAUACCCACCCCAAAUGUAUUCAGAAUAUUAAAUGCUCAUUUUCGAUUCUGUGCUGGCCCACUCUGCCGAGUUUGUGGUUCAGAUGCUUUUCGUGUCCCCCCCCCCACACACACAAAAUAAUUCACAGAUUUCAGAAAAUGUACAUAUUCUGUGUCACUGUGUAUUUUGUUCCCUGCUCCUGUUGGUUUGGUUGGUGUGUUUGAAUUUCUGGAGGGUUGCGUAAACAAGACUGUACUAUACAUAUACACCGAUUAGCACACUAUCUAUUUCUAGACACGUAAGCCUUUAGAUGGUUUCAGACCAGCUUUACAACUUAUUCUGGUCAGGAAGAGUGUAAUAAUUCACCCAUCAUCAGAGGG